GUACACAGUAAUGAUGCAUCUUACAAUUGGGAUCAUCCUAAAUGUGAUGGCAUAUGGAACCAGGUGCUGUUAGGAGCAAGGAUCUCUUCUGGGGCCCAAGGCAGCAUGUUCUCUCAGGGUGUUGACGUCCUGCCACAGUGGAGCAGGGCAAGUCAAACAGCUGUCAGCUGGACAGGAGAAUUUCAUCUACUGUAGUGUUUUGGAACAACUCAACAGGGAAAAGUGAUGAAGAAUGCCUAGGGGCUUGGGCUACUCUAGUGGAGAUGGUCCAUGAAGGUCUCUCUGAGAAGAUGAAGCUGAGUGCCGGAAAGGAGGUUCCCUGAUAAGAUCUGGGACGAGGGCCUUCCAUUGUGAGGAAAUAGCCAGAUGGACCUUGAAACGAGAAUAAGAAAAGGGGCCAAAUACUGGUGUUUUGACAUUCCAUCCCAUUAAAAGGAAGAAGAAGGAAAAAGAACAAAGAGAAAACUCCAAUCUGCCUGUAUGGAGUGUGCUUCCUCUUGUUCAGAUGCCGUGUUUACGUUGAGAUGCCCACAGCUGGGAUGUGGUCCCAGCCUACAGACACAAUCCUGGCUUCUUGCAUCAGCCCCCCCUCCACGGUCCCCAGCCUCCAGGGACAUUACUAAGGAAGCCUGCUCCCAAACAAGGACCCGCAGGCGGAUUCAUGGAGCGCAGGACUAGGAUUCAAGUGCAAGUGACUUCUUUGGAGAUGAUCCCGGUGCACACCAGGAGGGGAAUGAGGAAUUGAGACGAGGCAGAAGGACGAUCAAUGAACGAUGUGUCAUCAAGCCAGCGGGCAGUUGGGGAACUCCAGAAGCCACUGCAGAACGAGCACCACGGAGUUAUGCCACCGAGGAAGAGGAAGCAGAUUCAGAAGGUCGGUGGUGAUGCUGCAUUGGGUCACGUGCCCAGGUCAUUCGCCUCACUGCAUCUUGUCACCUAGGCGUUUCAUUGUCUCACAUCACGGCAAGACGCAGAAAGGUGAGUGCGGUGAAAGAGGAUAUUUUGAGAGAGAGAGACCACAUUCCCAUCAC